rnacentral:lncRNA from 1 species
CUCUGUAUAAAAUAUAACAUCCAAAACCUUUGUUUUUACAAAAUAUAUAAUAUAACACAGUGUAUACAUGUAAUUAACAAUAACAAAAACUUUCAUCAUAAGUUAGUUUAUAUAAUACUCCCAACAAGCAAGAAUAAAUGUAUAACAUUUUAAAGUAUAAAUUCUAGUUCUCAUCCUAAUAUUGUCUAUUCCCUUUCAUCAGAUAUAUAAGAAGAUGUGGUAUGAGUGCCAUCGAGACAACUCUUGAUCCAAGUCACAAUAUGUUAUCAAACCAUUAUAGGUCAAUGUACAGUCCAACACCGACCUUGGCUCACAACGAAACAGAAAGCUAUAAAAGCUUCAUAUUCCUAGUAAAAAAAAAAAUCAUUGAACUCUGUACUGAUUGAUUCUUGACUAAUUGUGUGAGAUCAUUUUAUGCCACUGCUUUUAUGCACUAUCCCAACCCUAAUAUAAAAAUAUAAAUGAAAUUGACAUACAUAUAGCAAAGUAAUGUGGUUUUGAAAGACUAAUUUGUAUGCCACUAUUUCCCUUCCAGAAAAACACUAAGAUUCUGGGUCUUAAAAUAUACUUAAUACAGUCAACCUUCAACAUUUAUUACAUGACUGAAAGAACGGACAAUAACUGUAUAUAUCAUAAAAACAUUGUACUAACAUUAAAUAAACAAGUCUAGAAAAUAUCUAAUGUCUAUUUCUCUUAUUUUAACACAAUUUUACAUUGAUGGCUACAAUAGCCAGCAAUCACAGGCACUUGUCUCAGAAUUUUUUUUCCCUAUAUACCUUAAUAUAACCCAAAAAUUCUGAGACAAGUGCCUGUGCCAUCGUGCCAAUGUAAAAUCGUGUUAAAAUACGAGAAAUAGACAUUAUUAACAGGCCUAACAAAUAUCUUCUUGCGUAGUUCUCUGCAUUCUUAUAAACACUUUUGUACAAUUAUUUCUAUGCUACUCACUUUACACAAUCAAAUCUGAACAGAUGAUAUGAAUAAAAAAGAUGUUGCAAAAACAUCAACAUAAAAUAGCAAAUUGGACAUCUUUGGUCUGUAGUGAUAUAAAGCCCCAACACCACAUGACAAGCUCUAUAUGCUUGAUAAAGGUUUAAAAAUAGUCAAAAUCUGGACAAAGCAAAAAUAUGAUCAGAGCUGUUCAAAUCUUAAUUAUAAGUUAUAACUAACAUAUAAAUAAAACUUAUGUAUAACAAUAUCAAAUGCAUUGCAAAUUUGUAAAAGUUCUAAAACAGUUCAAUAAAAUACAUUAAAUAAU